GAUGAACGCUGGCGGCGUGCCUAAUACAUGCAAGUCGAGCGAACAGACGAGGAGCUUGCUCCUCUGACGUUAGCGGCGGACGGGUGAGUAACACGUGGAUAACCUACCUAUAAGACUGGGAUAACUUCGGGAAACCGGAGCUAAUACCGGAUAAUAUAUUGAACCGCAUGGUUCAAUAGUGAAAGACGGUUUUGCUGUCACUUAUAGAUGGAUCCGCGCCGCAUUAGCUAGUUGGUAAGGUAACGGCUUACCAAGGCGACGAUGCGUAGCGGACCUGAGAGGGUGAUCGGCCACACUGGAACUGAGACACGGUCCAGACUCCUACGGGAGGCAGCAGUAGGGAAUCUUCCGCAAUGGGCGACAGCCUGACGGAGCAACGCCGCGUGAGUGAUGAAGGUCUUCGGAUCGUAAAACUCUGUUAUUAGGGAAGAACAAAUGUGUAAGUAACUAUGCACGUCUUGACGGUACCUAAUCAGAAAGCCACGGCUAACUACGUG
rnacentral:rRNA from 1 species